UCUAGAACUCGAGAUAUGGGCUGAACACUAAACAGUGUCUGGGCUGCAGGACAGAUUCUGAGUUCUUUGUUGUUGCUGCAGUUUGAACUUGAAAACGAUCCUUUUGAAUCUUGGACUCUUCAUGAAAGUUUUAGGCAUAUGUCUUAGCUUUUGAAU
rfam:Populus trichocarpa scaffold_15_contig_34, whole genome shotgun sequence.